rnacentral:rRNA from 1 species
AGCUCCAAUAGCGUAUAUUAAAGUUGUUGCAGUUAAAAAGCUCGUAGUUGGAUUUGUGGCUGGUCUCCGUGGCGUGCCCUAUUGGGUUUCGCCGUCGGAGUCUGCCAUCUUUGGGUGGAAUCCAGGUGGCAUUAGGUUGUCGCCUGGGGGAUGCCCAUCGUUUACUGUGAAAAAAUUAGAGUGUUCAAAGCAGGCUUAUGCCGUUGAAUAUGUUAGCAUGGAAUAAUGAUAUAGGACCUUGGUACUAUUUUGUUGGUUUGCGCACUGAGGUAAUGAUUAAUAGGGACAGUUGGGGGUAUUCGUAUUCCAUUGUCAGAGGUGAAAUUCUUGGAUUUUUGGAAGACGAACUACUGCGAAAGCAUUUACCAAGGAUGUUUUCA